GUGGGCUGGCCCGGGGCUGUCUUCCCGCCUUCGUUUCACUGGGAAGCUCCGAGGGGAUGUCUGGUCUGGAAGGACUACUUCCCGCUUCUUCUCUUCUCUGGCUUCUUAUUUUCACCUUGGGGGGUAGAAGCUUUAGAAAUCCUCAUUCUGACACUGACUUGCCACAUGACUUGGGGAAAUAAAGUUUAAAGAAUAUGUAGAAGAUGGAAUCCAACUUCUCAUCAGUGAUUCUUGAGGGGAAGUUUCAGAAGCUCCAAGAAUGUGUGGAAUUUUUAUUAGAAAAAUAUUUUGUUUUAAUUGAGAAACAUUACUUUUGCUCAACCUGCUUUUCAAAUACGAAUCAUCACAAUUUUAUGUAGACCUCCAGCAUUGUGCAAGACCUUAGACAUAGCGUAGAAACCGAUAAAGGCUUAAAACUAAGG